rnacentral:rRNA from 1 species
AUGGCCGAGUCGGCCAUUGGCUCCGUGCUUGGCAACGUGAGCACCCUUGCAGUCCAGGAGACCACAUUCCUAUGCGGCGUCACCCUUGAAGUGGGAUUCUUGAAGGAUGAGCUGAAGCGGCUAAAGAGCUACCUUAAAUCCGCCGAUGCCAAAAGGAGAUCAGGAGAUGAGCUUGUGGCUACCUGGGUCGGCCAGAUCAGGGAUGCGGCAUACGAGGCCGAGAAUGCCAUUGAAGCAGCCGACUACAUGGAGAAGAGAAACAGGCUCAAGAAGGGCUUCAUGGGUGCCAUCUCGAGGUAUGCUCGCUUGCCAAGUGACCUGAUUACCCUUCACACAAUUGGUGCUGAAAUACAGCGUGUAAGAAGGAAGAUUAGUGAGAUAUUUGAUAGUGCAAACCGUUUGAAAAUCAAUUUGGACACUAGUGAUGUAGAAAAGGUUCAUAUUGAGGAUGAGUAUCCACAAGAUUAUGGUACUAUGCACCAAAACUUUGAAGAUAUUGACCUUGUUGGUUUUGGGGAUGAGUACAAGGAAAUAGUUGGAAAGUUAGUUGACAAAGAGAACAUAACUCUUAGUGUUGUCUCCAUAGUUGCCAUGGGUGGAGCGGGGAAAACAACACUCGCUAGAAAAGUAUACACUUCAUCUAGUGUCAAAAAACACUUUGAGGCAACUUCUUGGGUCACUGUAUCUCAAAAAUUCAAAGGCAUUGAUUUACUAAAGGAUAUUAUGAAACAAAUAAUGGGGGGCAGAGAUGAGUCAAUUGCUAAGAUGAAUGAGUAUGAGGUGGGAAAGGAGAUUCAUGAUUUUCUAUUGCAAAAAAGAUACUUGGUAGUUCUUGAUGAUGUGUGGGAAACCGACACAUGGGACCAAAUAAAUAAACGGGUUAAAGCUUUUCCAGAUGCAACUAAUGGUAGUAGAGUACUACUAACCACCCGGAAGGAAGAUGUUGCAAAUCAUGUCCAAAUGCCAACCUAUGUUCAUCAUUUGAAGAAGUUAGAUGAAGAGAAAAGUUGGGAACUAUUUAGUUGCAAAGCUUUACCAUCAUACAAAAGGUCUGUCAUACGUGAUGUGGACGAGUUUGAAAAACUUGGGAGAAAGCUUGCAAAGAAAUGUGAUGGAUUGCCACUUGCACUUGCAAUUUUGGGGGGUUAUCUAUCAAAAAAUCUGAAUGCACAAAUAUGGUCUGAUAUACUCUCUGAUUGGCCAUCAACCAAGAAUGGACAGAUGAUGCGAGACAUACUGGCUCGCAGUUACAAGGACCUACCAAAUUAUUAUUUAAGAGCUUGUUUUCUCUAUCUUGCGGCUUUUCCCGAGGACUAUGAAAUAUAUGUGUCGGAACUUAUUGAAUUAUGGAUAGCAGAGAGCUUCAUUCCACAUACACCAAAGCAUUUACUAGAAGAAACAGCAAAGAAUUAUGUGACCGAGUUGGCUCAGAGAAGCCUGGUGCAAGUUGUUGCCAGAAGUAGGGCACAUGGAUGGAUAGAGAGAAUAAGAAUUCACGAUAUCUUACAUGACUGGUGCAUAGAAGAGGCAAGACAAGAUGGUUUUCUUAAUGCCAUCAACAAAACUGCAGACCAAGCAGGUGCAUCAUCAUGGUCUGAUAACUUGAUGUCUUAUUGUUUUAGUUAUCAAACUUUGAGUGGUCAGAUUUCACCUGCGACACCCAAUGUCCGAAGUCUGCUUGGCUUUAAACUCUCAUCAGUGUCCCUUCCUAAGCUCAGAUACCUGAGAGUUCUUUGCAUUGAAAAAUCAAGACUAAAUGAUUUCUCCAGUGUAAUUGGUGGGUGCAUUCACCUAAGAUUGCUUAGGUUGGCAAACUGUGGAUGGGUGGCGUUACCUUCUUCAAUUGGCAAACUCCUUUACUUGCAGACUAUAGAUCUCAGAAGCACGGAAUUAUUUGAGUCAGUGGUACUAAACUCUCUAUGGGAUAUCCCUACUCUAAGGCAUGUUUACCUUGGCGGUGAGUUUUCUCCACCACCACCUGCAAGGAGUGUGCGACGGCAGCCGAAAGAGCUACAGAGCUUUGUGUUGGAUGUUCAUUCUGUUAGCACCGAUUUCCGCUGUCAUGACAUGAUGAUUUUCUUGGGCCAGAUGAAUCAACUAACAACCUUCUCCCUGUCGAUGCGCCCCGAUAUACCAGCGGAGGUGCUCAAUAUAUUGGCAAACAUGCCUCACCUGGUUGAUAUUAGUCUCCACCAAUUUGAUGUGCUCGAUAAGCUGCCUGCUGAGUUCCCACAAAGCGUACGUCGUCUUGUUCUAUAUGCUCAUGUCAUAGAGCAAGACCCAAUGCCGAUCCUGGAGAAGCUUCCCUGUCUUGUGGUGUUGGAGUUGAGUGGGUACAAAGGCCAGACCAUGUGCUGCUCUGCCCAAGGUUUUCCUCGGCUGCAAGAGUUAGAACUUGGUAGUUUUUCCACCGAGGUGUGGAGGAUGGAGGAACGGACAAUGCCAAAGCUGUCCCACCUGGAACUUUAUCGGUGCAUGGAGAUGAGAAAGCUCCCCAAAGGGUUAAUGCACCUUCCAUCCCUCGGUCACCUGAAGCUGAGCUAUAUGUACCAGAUUUCUAAAGAUGACGUCACACUAAAGGAGCUGCGGCGGAAAGGAUGCGAGGUGGAGAAAUAG